UUACGCAAAAUCGUACCCGGCGAAGCUUUACCCGUAGUUCUCUUCUUCGACAAAUCUACUUCCGAACUCCAGAUCCCCAAACUGUUGAAAGAAAUUAAAACGUUGCAUGGAAGAAUAAUCGAAGGAACAAAAUUCGACUCUGGGUCGAAAACUGCAAACAAACAAAUGUUUUUCUGCCCGAAUAAAAAUUCCAAUGACGAAUGUUUGGUUCACAAAACAUUCAAGAAAUCAGAACCGCUAGAAUGCGCCAAAGAACCAUCGGCAGUACCGGUAAUAGGAAAUUUAGAGGGUGUUUAUCAAAUGAAGUGUGGGCCUGGAAACCAAAAUGAAGAAGGGACUUUACAUGGAUAUGUUUACAAAAUUUGUGAGAAUCAAGAAAUCAAUGGGUGGCUGCAGUUCACGAAAUACGUGGGGUUUUCAAUUGAACCGGAAAAGGUUAGAGGAAAUGAUUUAGAAAUAUAUUCUUUUUGUUACAAUACUGCCAAGAAAAAAACUAUAUUCACCGUCCACGAAAUAAAACUUCCAUUAUUAAUGAAUGGGUACGUUCUAUUUCGAGAGCAAGAAAUAGAAUAUGGUAUGAUGAAUGAUCAAGUUGUUUCUCCAAACCAGUCGAAGCCAGAAAAUACACCUACUGAGG